AGCUACAGGAGAUGUUGGAGAAACUCGGCUAGAUUUUCAUAGCAGACAUAACUUCUCUUCCUCCACCGUUCAGUUUCCCUCAGUUGUUACACAGUACAUUGUACUGCUAAGCUGUCAUCAGUUGUCAGGAAAAUAAAAUGUUAAUUUCUGAAAAGGAUCAUUAGUUUAUUUCUCCAAAAGUAGAUGUUCCUGUUAGCAUGGGCUGCCAUAUCUGGACUAAGAAAAUAUUAGGGAAAGAUAAAGGAAGAAGGUUUAUAUUUUUUUCAUAUUACUUCUAUGCCUAAAGGUACUGUAGCCCUACACGAGGAAACGGACAGUCUAAUCUUUGCCCUGGGAACCAGGCAUCAAGGCUUGUCACUUUGUCACUUCUUUGAAGAUGGCCUGGCUAGCCGCUCAGUGCUUCCCAAACCCUUAUCAGCAUACACAGUAUUUAGUCAUUUGAGAAAAACUUGAGUCAGGCAUUCCUUGUCUUGGAGAUAGAUUCCACAUGGCAUAUCGCUUUCUUCCUGAGAAAUUGUAUUCAUUGCCUUCACGUGCAUCAAGGUGACUCUUCACCCACCGUCUUCAGAACAGAGGUGUUACCAGCCAUGUUGGAUCUGCUUGCUGUCCAAAUCCAGCGGCAGAGACCUCUGCAAAUCACAAUCACUGCUGCCUGAGCACCCUGGGCAGCUGACAAUCAGAGAUGCUCAGACUGGAAGGGACAGACGGUUUCCCUCCAACAGCCUGUAGUUGAUGAUUGCAGAUCUCGUUCUUGAAAUAUGAUUUUCCCUGGGACAUUCAGCCCUAGGGGUUUGUUUUGGUUUUGAUAGUUUCUUGGGUUCUUUUAAUUUUGUUUAUGGGGGGAGGCAUGAGAUGUUUAGGGUCUUUUAUACAAGAAAAUAAAUGGUUUGACAACAAUCUCAGAAUAUAUUUUUUCCACAUCUGAACAAAAUACCUUUGUUUACUCUACAGCAUACAUUUAUUGGGGGUUUUGGUUUGUCGGUUACUUGUCGGGGUGCCUUCCCUGUUUCUGCCAGGUCAGUAUUGGCAAAGCUGAUCAUUUGUCUUUUUUUCUCCUUCAGAAGAAGUUGUAUCAAUAAACUCAAUUGUAUUUAUGUAUGUAAAUAGAUUUCAAGCUUCAUUAUAAAAUAUUGUUAAUGCCUGUAAUAACUUUUUUCACUUUUUGUGUGUGUUUCUAAGGACUUUUUCUUAUGUUCGCUGAAUAUUGUAGAAGAAAAUGCUUCUCUCCACUUGUUUAUUUUAGACUUUUAAAAAAACAAGCUACUUCUUAUUCACUUUUUAUAAACAGCUAAUAAACAGCAUGGUUCCAAUUUUUUUAAGUUCACUUUAUGUUCUAGGAGGAAUGGAUGUGCAAAAAAAAAGAAAGAAAAAAAUCUCCAAAUGAACUAUCGGAUAUUUCUGUUACCAUGAAUGUGCAAAAUCAAUGGGAAAAAAUAAAUAAACUUCCUAAUUGAAAUGACAGUAAAGCACGUGUGUGGGAAAAACUCAGACAACACAGCACUUCAGCCACCAACUGUCGCCCACUCGAGCAGCAAUUGUUGGACGUGGUCCCAAGGCAUCCUAAGCCCAGGGCGUGAUGCUCUUUCUCCCUGGUACUAACAUACAGAACACCUCCUAACAGGCUCUGUCAGGC
ensembl:lncRNA